CCUGGAGAGUGGUGGCCAUUAAACACUGAUGUCCUUAUGGAAGGAAGUGAAAUCUGUGGUGUUGAAAACCCAACUCUUCAUGAGAUCUUGUUAGAUGUCUACUAUGAAUUACCUGCAGAAAUCCCUGAAGAUGAAGCUCAUUUUCUAGUACAAAGACUAAAAACAUUUGGCACAGAUGAAGAUACACAUUGGGUAUGUUAGUGUUUGAAGUGUGAAAUAUGGUAC
rnacentral:lncRNA from 1 species